GACGUAGGGCGCAAGCGUUGUCCGGAUUUAUUGGGCGUAAAGAGCUCGUAGGCGGCCUGUUGCGUCCGCUGUGAAAGCCCGGGGCUUAACCCCGGGUCUGCAGUGGAUACGGGCAGGCUAGAGGUAGGUAGGGGAGAAUGGAAUUCCCGGUGUAGCGGUGAAAUGCGCAGAUAUCGGGAGGAACACCGGUGGCGAAGGCGGUUCUCUGGGCCUGUACUGACGCUGAGGAGCGAAAGCGUGGGGAGCGAACAGG
rnacentral:rRNA from 1 species